UACGUAGGCAGCAAGCGUUGUUCGGAGUUACUGGGCGUAAAGGGUGUGUAGGCGGUUCUUUUAAGUUUGCUGUGAAAUCUCCCGGCUUAACCGGGAGGGUGCGGUGAAUACUGAGGGACUAGAGUACGGGAGAGGAAAGUGGAAUUCCAGGUGUAGCGGUGAAAUGCGUAGAUAUCUGGAGGAACACCGGUGGCGAAGGCGGCAUCCUGGACCAAUUCUGACGCUGAGUGAGCGAAAGCCAGGGGAGCAAACGGG
rnacentral:rRNA from 1 species